AGGAGAAGCAGUUUAAAUAGGGCGCCAUUUUGACAUUAGCCAAUAGGAUGUGAAGAGGGCCAUCACCUGAGCUGUCAGCUGACUGAGGGCUGGUUUAAGAUCAGCUGACUGUAGCCUUUAGCUUGACUCCGUGACCUGCCUGAUUGCACAUGUGCACACCACAAUGCGAUGGUCAAACCAUAUAUUCCUCAGUUCUAUAUGAAGCAUACAGUUCACUUUAAAACUCUAGACGGUCAACACCAAAGAAAGCAGAAGCACAAUGGAACGAGAAGAUUGAGAGGAUCUUAGCAACUUAGCAACCCCUCUGCGCCGGUAAGAACCCCUCUGAAAAAAUGGCCACGAUGGACUCCGAGUCUCACAAAAAGGCCUGACAUGACGCCGUCCUCGUUUUCUUCCGCUUUAUCCGGGUCCGGGUCACGGGGGCAGCAGCUUUGAGGGAAGCCCAGACGGCCCUCACCCCGGCCACUUCCACCAGCCCCUCUGAGGGGGAUUUCCAGGCGCUCCCAGGCCAGGUGAGAGAUAUAAUCCCUCCACCUGGUCCUGUGCCGGCCACGAGGUCUCCUCCCGGUGGGACAUGUCCGGAACACCUCUAAUGGGAGGCGUCCAGAAAGCAUCAUAAGCAGAUGCCUGAGCCACCUCAGUUGACUCCUCUCGACGUGGAGGAGCAGCGGUUCUACUCUGAGUGCCUCCUGAGUGUCCGAGCUCUUUACCCUAUCUCUAAGGUUGAGCCCGGCCACUCUGUGAAUGAAAUCCAUUCCAGCCGCUUGUAUCCGUGAUCUUGUUCUUUCGGUCAUUACCCAAAGUUCAUGGCCAUAGGUGAGGAUCGGCACGUAGAUUGACCGGUAAAUCGAGAGUCUCGUCUUACGGCCCAGCUCUUUCUUCACCACGACAGCUCGGUUAAGCAUCCACAUCACUGCUGACGCCGCUCCGAUCUGCCUGACAUGAUGCCUCCUUUAAAUUUCACACCCAUAAUUGCAGAUGAACAGAAACACUGAUGCUAAAUUUAAAAAUAAGUCCUAAGAUAAAAGAUUUAUAGUCUGUAAAAAGCAAACUACAUCAUUUUCCUUUUGGUAACAGUGUUUGUUUAUUGUACUCUUUUAAAGUUAAAUCAGCUCACAGGCAGCUUGAAAACUUUGCUUACAUAAAAGGUAAAAUGUAAACUUCUUGUAACUUCAAACUAAUUUCAGGGCUCAAAAAUGAGGACUCAAGCCAACUGUUGAAGAUAAAGAUGAAUGUUUUCUCUUUUUACUCUAAACUUUUUGUAUAACUGUAACGUAAACCCAACAAAUAAUCACGUCUUGCCCCUCAAUGAGGAUUCCUCACGAACAAACCUCAAGAGACAUGUAUCAUAUGAGUGUUUACUGAAAACAUUACUGACUGAGGGUUUGAAUAUUAAAUGUGUCCUAAUGAGUUAUCAGGGGACUAGAUCAGCUGAGAGGGUUCCUCUCGAGUAUUUCACCACACUGACAGCAUUUUUCCAUUACAACAAUUACAAACUGGAUUAUUUGUAAGAACGUGACAGAAGUUAAACUUUUUACUGACUCACUUUUUUAUGAAGCUUUCCUUUGUCCUGCUUUUGGGUUAGGGGACGGUAUUUUCCUCCAGAAAAACUUAUUUCAUUUUUUGAAUGUCAACCUAUGUCUGUCAAUUUGUAGUACAAGAUCUAGCUGUGGUCACAGAGGUUAUACUGGCUUACAAGAGUCUUCAAUUCAACUAGCAAGUUAUAUCCAGAGGUUGUCUUUGGAAAAUAGACGUUUGAGUGCUGCCAGCAUUGCUGCAGAGGUUGAAGGGGUGGGGGGUUAACCUGUCAGUGCUCAGACCAUACAGCACACACUGCAUCAAACUGGUCUGCAUGGCUGUCAUUGCAAGAGGAAGCCUCCUCUAAAGAUGAUUUACAAGAAAGCCUGCAAACAGUUUUCUAAAGACAAGCAGACUAAGGACAUGGAUUACUGAAACCAUGUCCUGUGGUCUGAUGACACCAAGCUCAACUUUUUUUUUUUUCAGAUGGUGUACAGCGUAUGUGGUGGCCUACAGUCUGCUUACAGUCAGGCAUGGUGGUGGGAGUGUCACAGUCUGGGGCUGCAUGAGUGCUGCCAGCACUGGGGGGCUGCAGUUCAUUGAGGGAAUCACGAAUGCCAACAUGUACUGACAUACUUAAGCAGAACAUGACCCCCCGCCCCUUCGGGAACUGGGCUGCAGGGCAGUAUUCCAACAUGAUAAGGACCCCAAACACACCUCCGAGACGACCACUGCCUUGCUAAAGACGCUGAGGGUAAAGGUGAUGGACUGGCCAAGCAUGUCUCCAGACCGAAACCCUAUCAAGGAUCUGUGGGGCAUCCUGGAGGAGGUGAAGGAGCAUAAGGCCUCUAACAUCCACUCAGCUCUGUGAUGUCAUCAUGGAGGAGUGAAAGAGGAAUCUAGUGGCAACCUGUUAAACUCUGGUGAACUCCAUGUCCAAUACAGUUAAAGCAGUGCUGGAAAAUGAUGGUGGACACGACAAAAUAAUGACACUUUGGGCCCGAUUUGGACAUUUUCACUUAGUGUUGCCGGGUUGUACACAUUAAUGAAUGUGUGUUGAGUUGUUUUGAGGGAACAGUAAAUUUACACUGUUACACAAGCUGUACACUGACUACUUAACAUUGAGUCAAAGUGUCAUUUCUUUAGUGUUAUCCCAUAAAAAGAUAUAAUUAAAUAUUCGCAGAAAAGUAAGGGGUGUACUCACUUAUGUGAGAUACUAUAGUUUAUUUUAAGAAAAAAAAAUCCAUUAAUUUUUCACUUCAUCUAUUCCUCUGGUUAUCAAAAAAAUAAUCUUUAUCAAGCAUCUCAAACUGAUCUGACUUCCCUCAUUGUAUCUCAAAAGAUCUAACCUACAGUCACAACUUCAGAGACCUCACCUCAAAGCCUGCAAUGCCACCUGCCUCCUGCUGCCUGUCACUGCUGCUCUUGCUGAUGCCCCGAUGAGAUGAUUCACAAACAUGUCAGAGACAUAAAAACAUACUACAAAGAAGUCCCUCAGAAUUUCUGUCAAAAUGGGAGUAGCUAAUAGAUACAUUUAGGCCAAUUUCCCAUCAAAAAAGUUUUUUUGAGCCUAAAUAGAGAUAAUAAUUGAAUAUAUUAUCUUUAAAAUCAAUAAGUGUUAUAGUUAAAUGUUAAAUUGCCUACAGUGCGUCAAUUCAACCACAGAAGCCGUUUUAAGCUAGCCUGGCUGGGCCAUCCUGUUGCGUGAAUCACGCCGUUCCUUCCCACAGCAGCGGCAAGUGAUUCACGCAACAGGAUGGCCCAGCCAGGCUAGUUUUAAGCUAGCUAUUUAUCAUACUUACGUUUUUCUCUCUUCAUUAAUGACAUUUCACCAGGGUUCUUUGAAAUUAAACGAGAAACUAUCUAAAAUGCGACCAAAUCCGUAAAGCUUGAGGACAAUUUC